UACGAAGGGGGCGAGCGUUGUUCGGAUUUACUGGGCGUAAAGGGCGCGCAGGCGGCGAUCUUUGUCAGGCGUGAAAGCCCCGGGCUUAACCUGGGAACUGCGCUUGGGACGGGAUUGCUGGAGACCGGGAGAGGAGAGUGGAAUUCCCAGUGUAGAGGUGAAAUUCGUAGAUAUUGGGAAGAACACCGGUGGCGAAGGCGGCUCUCUGGACCGGAUCUGACGCUGAGGCGCGAAAGCGUGGGGAGCAAACAGGAUUAGAUACCCUGGUAGUCCACGCUGUAAACGAUGUGUGCUAGACGUUGGGGAGCCUAGCUCUUCGGUGUCGCAGCUAACGCUUUAAGCACACCGCCUGGGGAGUACGGCCGCAAGGUUAAA
rnacentral:rRNA from 1 species